UUUUCAUGGCAGCACAGGGCAGAGCUCUUCCUCACCAUACACUGUCACUGUCAACCAAACCACCUACCAGCCAGGAGACACCAUCCAAGUGACUCUGUCAGGAACCUUCACCUAUAAAGGGUUUCUUCUGGAGGCCCAUGAGGAAGGACAGAACAAGGCUGUGGGAACGUUCUCUCUCGGCAGUGGAACUGGGAUCGUUCUUGUGCCUUGCAAUGGGAUCGCAGCCUCUGGGGUGAGUCAAAGCAACAAUCAACCUAGAUCAUCAGUAACAGUCACCUGGACAGCACCAUCAUUG